UACAGGGGGGGCAAGCGUUGUUCGGAAUUACUGGGCGUAAAGGGUUCGUAGGUGGCCAACUAAGUCAGACGUGAAAUCCCUCAGCUUAACUGGGGAACUGCGUCUGAUACUGGAUGGCUUGAGUGCAGGAGAGGGAUGCGGAAUUCCAGGUGUAGCGGUGAAAUGCGUAGAUAUCUGGAGGAACACCGGUGGCGAAGGCGGCAUCCUGGACCAACACUGACGCUGAGGAGCGAAAGCCAGGGGAGCAA
rnacentral:rRNA from 1 species